rnacentral:rRNA from 1 species
UUAAUUUGAGAGUUUGAUCCUGGCUCAGGACGAACGCUGGCGGCGUGCCUAAUACAUGCAAGUCGAACGAACUCUGGUAUUGAUUGGUGCUUGCAUCAUGAUUUACAUUUGAGUGAAGUGGCGAACUGGUGAGUAACACGUGGGAAACCUGCCCAGAAGCGGGGGAUAACACCUGGAAACAGAUGCUAAUACCGCAUAACAACUUGGACCGCAUGGGUCCGAGUUUGAAAAGAUGGCUUCGGCUAUCACUUUUGGAUGGUCCCGCGGCGUAUUAGCUAGAUGGUGGGGUAACGGCUCACCAUGGCAAUGAUACGUAGCCGACCUGAGAGGGUAAUCGGCCACAUUGGGACUGAGACACGGCCCAAACUCCUACGGGAGGCAGCAGUAGGGAAUCUUCCACAAUGGACGAAAGUCUGAUGGAGCAACGCCGCGUGAGUGAAGAAGGGUUUCGGCUCGUAAAACUCUGUUGUUAAAGAAGAACAUAUCUGAGAGUAACUGUUCAGGUAUUGACGGUAUUUAACCAGAAAGCCACGGCUAACUACGUGCCAGCAGCCGCGGUAAUACGUAGGUGGCAAGCGUUGUCCGGAUUUAUUGGGCGUAAAGCGAGCGCAGGCGGUUUUUUAAGUCUGAUGUGAAAGCCUUCGGCUCAACCGAAGAAGUGCAUCGGAAACUGGGAAACUUGAGUGCAGAAGAGGACAGUGGAACUCCAUGUGUAGCGGUGAAAUGCGUAGAUAUAUGGAAGAACACCAGUGGCGAAGGCGGCUGUCUGGUCUGUAACUGACGCUGAGGCUCGAAAGUAUGGGUAGCAAACAGGAUUAGAUACCCUGGUAGUCCAUACCGUAAACGAUGAAUGCUAAGUGUUGGAGGGUUUCCGCCCUUCAGUGCUGCAGCUAACGCAUUAAGCAUUCCGCCUGGGGAGUACGGCCGCAAGGCUGAAACUCAAAGGAAUUGACGGGGGCCCGCACAAGCGGUGGAGCAUGUGGUUUAAUUCGAAGCUACGCGAAGAACCUUACCAGGUCUUGACAUACUAUGCAAAUCUAAGAGAUUAGACGUUCCCUUCGGGGACAUGGAUACAGGUGGUGCAUGGUUGUCGUCAGCUCGUGUCGUGAGAUGUUGGGUUAAGUCCCGCAACGAGCGCAACCCUUAUUAUCAGUUGCCAGCAUUAAGUUGGGCACUCUGGUGAGACUGCCGGUGACAAACCGGAGGAAGGUGGGGAUGACGUCAAAUCAUCAUGCCCCUUAUGACCUGGGCUACACACGUGCUACAAUGGAUGGUACAACGAGUUGCGAACUCGCGAGAGUAAGCUAAUCUCUUAAAGCCAUUCUCAGUUCGGAUUGUAGGCUGCAACUCGCCUACAUGAAGUCGGAAUCGCUAGUAAUCGCGGAUCAGCAUGCCGCGGUGAAUACGUUCCCGGGCCUUGUACACACCGCCCGUCACACCAUGAGAGUUUGUAACACCCAAAGUCGGUGGGGUAACCUUUUAGGAACCAGCCGCCUAAGGUGGGACAGAUGAUUAGGGUGAAGUCGUAACAAGGUAGCCGUAGGAGAACCUGCGGCUGGAUCACCUCCUUUCUAAGGAA